GCUAAGAAGCCAGCGCCAGCAAAAAAGCAAAGGUUGCAGCUGCGCCCACUAAGAAGGCUGCACCCAUAAAGGAGUUGCCAAGCCUCCAAACAAGAAUGUGAAGAGACUAGGAGGCAAGGACCCUAAGAAGGGCAAGGGUGUGUUAGCAGUCAAGAAGGCUAGGAAGAUGGCAACCAAGGUUGUCAAUGGGCCCCGUGGUACCCGCGUGAAGAAGAUCAGAACCAACAUCCGCUUCCGCAGGCCCAAGACCCUUGAACUGCCAAGGAACCCAAGUACCCAGAAAGUCAACCCCCAGAAAGCCAAAAAUGGAUUGCUUCAAAAUCAUCCAGUAUCCUCUCACCACUGAUCUGCCAUGAAGCUGAUUGAGGAUAACAACACCUUGGUAUUCAUUGUGCACCGCAUGGCCAAUAAAAACCAUAUCAAGGCUGCUGUCAAGAAGCUGUAUGAGAUUGAUGCAGUUCGUGUGAAUACGCUCCACAGACCUGAUGGCUUGAAGAAGGCAUACGUAAAACUUGCACCAGAUUACGAUGCCCUCGAUGUUGCUAACAAGAUCGGUAUCAUAUAAAUGAUUAUAAAGUGGUUACAAGGACA